UGACAAUUAGUAUUUUUACAAGUUAUUAUAAAAUUAUGAAUUAAAUUCGAGACUUUAUGACAAUCAAUAUUUUUAUAAUUUCUAUUUAAAACAAGAAAAUGGUUUAUGAGUGAAUAUGUAAAAUAAAAAUAGGAAAAAUAAUGAGAAUGCUAAAGAAAAAAAAGCCUAAAAGCAUAAUUCAAACUAAAAGAAAUUAUUUUUGAAAUGAGAUGUAAUGGAAAAUAGAGGUUUUAUGAGAUGAAAAUGGUGAUGUGAUUGUGCAUAAUAUUGUAGUGUUAGAUGACGGUUUUGUAUGGAGAAAGAAAAUGGAGAAUGUUAAAAGUUACGAGAUUCCGAAGACAUUGGAAAUGAGUGGUGGUGUGGGAAAGAAGGGAUGCGUGUGUUGUGUAAGAUGGAAAUAUUGGUAUUUACAGAUAUAUGAGCAAAGAAAGUGGAUGAAUAAAAUAUAAUUUAAAAAAAAAGGAGUGGAAGAAAAGUUAGUGUGAAAAAUAAAUAAAAGAAUUAAUAUAAAAAGUGAGUGGAGAAAUUAAGUGAAAUAAAAUAUAAUUUAAAAAAUGAAUAGAAAAAUUUAGUGUGAAUAAUAAGUGAAAGAAUUAAUAUAGAAAAUGGGUAGAAAAAUUAGGUGAAAUAAAAUAUAAUUUAAAAAAGUGAAUAGAAAAGGUUAAUGUGGAAAAUAAGUGAAAGAAUUAAUAUAAAAAAUGGGUAAAGAAAUUA
rnacentral:sRNA from 1 species